rnacentral:lncRNA from 1 species
GCAAAUAUUUUAAACAAACAGGCGCCGUGUAAAUAAACGGGUGAUGCGUCAGUCCGCGCGGCCCAACAGGCGCAUAGUUAAGGGUCUGUAUUCGUCUACCUGGGACGAGGACCCUCAUUAAGGCAUGCCGCAGAUAGGAUUACGCAGCGAUUCUCCCGUUCGGGGGGCCUGACAUAACGCAAACAAACAAUUUUACAACGUCCAGAAGCUUCCAGGAAGAAAGAGGCACAGGGAGGCACACAUCUGUGAGCUAUUAGGAGUUCAGGAGUUGCAUUCGACCAGAGAAGAGUAUAUGCGGAGGGUGUGUGUGCAGGCGGGAGCGGGGUGUGCGUCCAGGCCACCCCACCAAGGUGUCACUGUACCUGGGGACAUGAGUGAACCUCAGCAACAAGAGGCUGGAGUAAUGUAUCUGUGGAGGAAUUUGCAUACCACAGAAGGUCACACUGCGUGCCGGAACGCACCAAGAGUGGAAUAAAGUUCAUCACGUUACAGUUUAUCUUUCUCCUCUUACCGCAGUACGACACCUCUGCUUUCAGAUCAUAUUCUAUUGCUAGUUUUCUUUCCACGGCCAUGGGCGCGAAUACUAUAGUAAAAACACUGUGAAUGCUGCUCUUACUCUCAGCAAUGUUCCCUUGCUGUGCUUUCUAUUUAUUAUUCUUAACACUAGUAUUACUGGGCAUUUAAUUAUAUGUCCAUAUACAGUAUAUUAAUGAAUGAGAGUAGGGAGGGUGGCACAAAUUCCCUUUCACUAUUAAUACAGAGUUUUAGAAGUUGCAUAUUGAAGAAGCUGUAAAAUGCGUGUUUAAGAUUUUUUGGACGUUUUGUGUGUUCCAUAUUUCUGCAAACGCGGUCUGCUUUUGAAACUAAAUGACGCAAACAAGGGAUUGGAGCCCAAAUCCAUGUGAACUUUUGCCAAAUAAUGUUUCUAAAACAAUUAAGAUUAAACAAAUGUCUAUCAUAAACUCUAUGGGGGAAAGCAUCGUAGGCUCUCAUAUACGUGUGAAUGCAUGACAUGUUGAUAUGAAAUAAUAUGUAAAAAUUAAUAGAAAUCUUUGGAGACAAAGUCGACUUGCGCGCUUUAUUUUAUCUUUAUCAUGUAC